rnacentral:rRNA from 1 species
CGUCAGUCUUUGUCCAGGGGGCCGCCUUCGCCACCGGUAUUCCUCCAGAUCUCUACGCAUUUCACCGCUACACCUGGAAUUCUACCCCCCUCUACAAGACUCAAGCUUGCCAGUUUCAAAUGCAGUUCCCAGGUUGAGCCCGGGGAUUUCACAUCUGACUUAACAAACCGCCUGCGUGCGCUUUACGCCCAGUAAUUCCGAUUAACGCUUGCACCCUCCGUAUUACCGCGGCUGCUGGCACGGAGUUAGCCGGUGCUUCUUCUGCGAGUAACGUCAAUCGCUAAGGUUAUUAACCUUAACGCCUUCCUCCUCGCUGAAAGUACUUUACAACCCGAAGGCCUUCUUCAUACACGCGGCAUGGCUGCAUCAGGCUUGCGCCCAUUGUGCAAUAUUCCCCACUGCUGCCUCCCGUAGGAGUCUGGACCGUGUCUCAGUUCCAGUGUGGCUGGUCAUCCUCUCAGACCAGCUAGGGAUCGUCGCCUAGGUGAGCCAUUACCCCACCUACUAGCUAAUCCCAUCUGGGCACAUCUGAUGGCAUGAGGCCCGAAGGUCCCCCACUUUGGUCUUGCGACGUUAUGCGGUAUUAGCUACCGUUUCCAGUAGUUAUCCCCCUCCAUCAGGCAGUUUCCCAGACAUUACUCACCCGUCCGCCGCUCGUCACCCGAGAGCAAGCUCUCUGUGCUACCGCUCGACUUGCAUGUGUUAGG